AGGAUGCUGUGGCUCCGAGGGCUGGUUUCAGCCCUGCCAAGAGGAGAGGCUGGUUUGAAGGUCACCUGUAGCCAAGCUGUGCCGUGGUGGGAAGGCUGACAGGGCUCAGCUCAGAGGGAAAGCCCCUGCAGACCACUCUGUUCACAUUGUAUUUGCACAAGACUCCCCUCUGCCCUUUGCUGAGCAAGGCUGGAUUCAUCCUCUCCCACUGGCUCGUGGUAGGGUUUUCCAGCACACACCACUCCUUUGCUCUGGUCUGGGGUCUUGGAAUAGGCUCAUCUGCUCUCCAACAUGCCCUCCAUCGUCCCAGCAUGAGACCCAAAGGUUUCUGCUUCCCUAACUUCUCCCUUAUUAAUGGCUUUGGACAGAUCACUCCCCUGCGACACACAUGCCUCUGCUGGCAUGAAUCUCUCCCUUGCCGCUGCCUCCGGUCCUCCCCUGGCUCUUUGUGCCCUCUCUGGUAUUUGCAGAGUCACCGAAUUUACAGUAGUGGGAACUCGGAGUGCUCUGUGCUCCCUCCAGACCAUCAUGAGGGUGUGUUACCACACUGUCCCCUCUGAGCCGGUUCCUUGUUCCCUGCUGUUCUCUUACCCAUGCUAGUUUAACUUGCUGUCUGGAUUCCUAUCCCCCAGCUGAGAAUCAUCACUUCCCAUUCCUGAUGCAGCUCAGGGGAUGCAAAACUCUCCAGCCAGCUCACACAUCCUGAGGCAGCAUCUUUGUCUUUUGAGAAAGAAUACAGCUUUUUAUUCUGAAAACAAUAUAAAUCACUCCACUGAUACGUACUUGCUAUUUCCUUUGUUAUUUCCUCAGUACAUGUCCUCUCCUUUGUAAACUACAAUGCUGUGAACCUUGUGCAGCUCCUCUGUGCAAACCCACUUUGCUUUGUGCCGACUGAAUACAGAGCCAGGAGAGAAAGACUUCCCUGCCUGCUAGGGCCCGUGCCAGGAAGCUCCUGUUGGAUCAGCUGCUGCCAACACACCCGGACCAGGAGAAGCCAACCCCCCUGGGUGUAAUUAGCAACAUGCUGCACAGCUGAAGGGCCAGCUCAGAUGACUGCGCUCCAAACUGCUGCUCACAGGUCACAUCCCUUCCUUCAAAAGGAGAUGGCCCUGGCAAGGACGCAGGGAAGGAUCCCAUGUACCCACAUGUGGCUGCCCUACUGCAUACUAGGAGGUUUGGAGGGAGCCCCAUGUCCUGUCUGUGGGCCAGCAUCCAGAUCCAGGAGCUGCCUGAGGUGCCAAGAGUGAUGCCCUGAAGGGUCCCUGCUGGUGGCUUCUUUCCAGUUCCAAAAUUCCAUCAGAAAUCCAUUACCCAAUGCAUAAAAAUCCAUGGAUUUGUAAUAGAAAGAGCCUCCUAAAGCUCAGAAAAUACAGCCUGGAUGUCUCCAUAAAUCCUGAUGCAUGUGAUUAAAAAGCCUGAUGGA